UACGUAGGGAGCAAGCGUUGUCCGGAAUCAUUGGGCGUAAAGCGCGCGUAGGUGGCCACAUAAGUCCGUUGUGAAAGUCAAAGGCUCAACCUUUGAAAGCCGAUGGAUACUGUGUGGCUAGAGUACGGAAGAGGCGAGUGGAAUUCCUGGUGUAGCGGUGGAAUGCGCAGAUAUCAGGAGGAACACCAAUAGCGAAGGCAGCUCACUGGGACGUUACUGACGCUGAGGCGCGAAAGCUAGGGGAGCAAACGGG
rnacentral:rRNA from 1 species